rnacentral:rRNA from 1 species
GAUCUGACGUUACCUAAAGAAUCAGCACCGGCUAACUCUGUGCCAGCAGCCGCGGUAAUACAGAGGGUGCAAGCGUUAAUCGGAAUUACUGGGCGUAAAGGGUCUGUAGGCGGAUUAUUAAGUCGGAUGUGAAAUCCCCGGGCUCAACCUGGGAACGGCAUUCGAUACUGGUAGUCUAGAGUGUGCAAGAGGAUGGGGGAAUUCCUGGUGUAGCAGUGAAAUGCGUAGAGAUCAGGAGGAACAUCAAUGGCGAAGGCACCUUUCUGGGGCAACACUGACGCUGAGAGACGAAAGCGUGGGGAGCAAACAGGAUUAGAUACCCUGGUAGUCCACGCCCUAAACGAUGUCAACUAACUGUUCGGAGUCACUAAGAUUCUGAGUAGUGAAGCUAACGCGAUAAGUUGACCGCCUGGGGAGUACGGCCGCAAGGUUGAAACUCAAAGAAAUUGACGGGGGCCCGCACAAGCGGUGGAGUAUGUGGUUUAAUUCGAUGCAACGCGAAGAACCUUACCCGGUCUUGACAUGGUAGGAAUCUUGUAGAGAUACGAGAGUGCCUUCGGGAACCUACACACAGGUGCUGCACGGCUGUCGUCAGCUC